ACAGAGCUGGGAACAGACCUUUGCCCAUGAAGGAACAGCCCUGCUUCAGGAGGUACUUGCUGAUGGCUCUCUACAUUACUCUUCGAAGGUUUCUGACUCUGACCACUGACUGCAUGGGUAGCACCAAGUGCCUGACAGGUUUCUGAGAUGCGGCUGAGGACUGUAUCACAAGGAAAAUAGCACAGGAGCAUUCCCAAGUCUCUAAAUCCUCAAUGUCAUUUUGCAGGGCGGGGAAAAAAAAAGCACAGUCCCUGUAUAUUGUCAGUCAACUUCUCAACAAAAUCCCCCUAUAUAUUAUAUUCAAGUGAGAGUUUGGGUACAGGCCCAUCUAUCACAUUUACAAGCCCCUGAUCUGUGUGGGAAUAGAAGAAGCUAAACAACGAAGGAGAUGCCUAACCACCACACAUUUGAAGAACUAGCAUGCUCUUUUUUAAUACAAGCUAUCAUGAAAGGUUAUGGGAAAGCAUUCUGAAAUCAACUGAUGCUUAAAAGUCUCAUAGAACACAGCAAAGUAAUGUAAUCAAAAUUUGAUCCAUUUAUAGCUCUUUCUAAUUCUGUCCCUGAAACAUAAUCUCUUUUCAUGUACAAUAUGGGAGUGCGCUGCUUUGUGAAUCUUUUGCAUACAGUACAACUGACGAUACUUUGGAUGAGAAGGAUGAGAUAGCUUUCAGUCUUACAAAGGUAACAGGCCACUUUAAUGAAUGUUUAGAAUUUGUGUUUAAUAUUUAAUCAGCUUAACACUUUGAUUUAUGUAGGCUACUGUAUAUCCUCCAAGGGCAUGAGGAGAGUACUUUCAAGGAAGAGCAUUUGGGGAGAAAAAUGUUGACAUUUCUACUCCAGUUAAACUCCUAAUUGUGCAUAAAUCUUUUAUACUUCUUCUGCUUCUGUGCAUAUAUUAUUUUCACAAUGCAAACAUGAAAUCAGACAUUUCCAAACUGUAGUUUAUGGAACACUUGUUUCUGCUCGUUUCCAGUACAAAAACAUUAUCAGACACCAAGAGAAGAAUGCAUGCAUACACAAUACAGAUAUAUUUAUUUUUAUGCUAUCCAACUUAUAGAUAUCCUCUUCUGAGUCAGCUAAAACUAGUUGUUGAUGCAGUAGUACCAAGCGGAGGUAAGACAAUGAUGUGUCAUGGAAAGGCCGAAGAUAACAGUAGUAGAUGUAUGCACAAAAAUCAUGGAAUUCCUAACAGCAAUGCCAGACUUGAAUAUCUACAUCCUAUGUACGUAGUUUUAGAUGAGAUGAAAGGUCUGUUUCUAAGCUUUAAUAUCAAAAAUAAUACUCCAUACACUCUUUAUUUUUUAUAGUAAGCAAUUUAAUGAAAUACCAAGUAUGUGUACCAGUAUGUACUGUUGAAGACACUGAUGGAUAUUGGCUUUCCUAGACAAGCAAAGUAGCGGUAUCUCAGUUACCAUAUCCUUGGCAACUGCUAAGCAUGGAAUAAUCAACUGGCAUGUUCUGGACAAGUGAGUCUUGAAAUCUGUUGUUAUUCACUGUCAUGGUAGAACUGCAAAUUAUCUCUUUUCCACUUCUGAUGGGAUACUUUUAAGUUGUCUUUUGCUCCAGCUGAAAUCGUAUUUCUCUUAGCCGUUUACUGCACUGACUUUUGAGUUUUACCAUUUCCUUUCAAAUGUCAAUCCGAAAAGUGUGUCAGCAUAGGAAGAGUACAUCAUCAUUCAAACAGUCUAUUUGUAAUGAUCCUGGGGCGGGAAAGUGGGCAGAUUGGUUUUGUUCCUACAAGAAAAAAGUAAGUGACCUAUGAAAUCUGAAGCUGGCCUUUUGUUAUCAGUCAUCUGGACAAGUAAAAAGGACCACUUUCUUUG
rnacentral:lncRNA from 7 species